rnacentral:rRNA from 1 species
AACGAACGCUGGCGGCAGGCCUAACACAUGCAAGUCGAGCGCCCCGCAAGGGGAGCGGCGGACGGGUGAGUAACGCGUGGGAGCGUGCCCUUUGCUACGGAAUAGCCUCGGGAAACUGGGAGUAAUACCGUAUAAGCCCUACGGGGGAAAGAUUUAUCGGCAAAGGAUCGGCCCGCGUUGGAUUAGGUAGUUGGUGGGGUAAUGGCCUACCAAGCCGACGAUCCAUAGCUGGUUUGAGAGGAUGAUCAGCCACACUGGGACUGAGACACGGCCCAGACUCCGACGGGAGGCAGCAGUGGGGAAUCUUAGACAAUGGGCGCAAGCCUGAUCUAGCCAUGCCGCGUGAGCGAUGAAGGCCUUAGGGUUGUAAAGCUCUUUCGUGGGGGAAGAUAAUGACUGUACCCCAAGAAGAAGCCCCGGCUAACUCCGUGCCAGCCGCCGCAGUAA